rnacentral:lncRNA from 1 species
AUUGUUUCAUGGUUUUACACGUCUAUGCUUGUAUUAACUUUGUGCAUUAGCCAUCUAAUUUUCAAUGACUUCGACAGGGGGAAAUUGAAUGCUCCUAUUAUUUGAAAACGGGGCAUUGCAAAUUUGGUAUAACAUGUAAAUACCAUCACCCUCAAACUGCUGGUAUAUCAGUUCCAGCACCUGCACGUCCAUUUUAUCCGACUGUGCAGUCUCUUCCUGCACCUCCUGAGGAAUAUAACAGUGCAUCAACUGGUCUUAGAGUAGCAAGGCUUCCACUUUUACCCGGUUCAUAUGUACCUAGCCAGCACCUGCACGUCCAUUUUAUCCGACAGUGCAGUCUCUUCCUGCACCUCCUGAGGAAUAUAACAGUGCAUCAACUGGUCUUAGAGUAGCAAGGCUUCCACUUUUACCCGGUUCAUAUGUACCUAGUGCUUAUGGUCCAGUGCUGCUU